GACGAACGCUGGCGGCGUGCUUAACACAUGCUAGUCGAACGCUGAAGCUCAGCUUUUGUUGGGUGGAUGAGUGGCGAACGGGUGAGUAACACGUGAGUAACCUGCCCCCUUCUUUGGGAUAACGCCCGGAAACGGGUGCUAAUACUGGAUAUUCACUGGUCUUCGCAUGGGGGUUGGUGGAAAGGGUUUUUCUGGUGGGGGAUGGGCUCGCGGCCUAUCAGCUUGUUGGUGGGGUGAUGGCCUACCAAGGCUUUGACGGGUAGCCGGCCUGAGAGGGUGACCGGUCACAUUGGGACGGAGAUACGGCCCAGACUACGACGGGGGGCGGCAGUGGGGAAUAUUGCACAAUGGGCGCAAGCCUGAUGCAGCGACGGCGCGUGAGGGAUGGAGGCCUUCGGGUUGUGAAACUCUGUCGCUCAUGGUCAAGCCGCAACAAUGGUUGUGGUGAGGGUAGUGGGUAAAGAAGCGCCGGCUAACUACGUG
rnacentral:rRNA from 1 species